UACGUAGGGGGCAAGCGUUAUCCGGAUUUACUGGGUGUAAAGGGAGCGUAGACGGCGAUGCAAGUCUGAAGUGAAAGGCGGGGGCCCAACCCCCGGACUGCUUUGGAAACUGUAUAGCUGGGGUGCAGGAGAGGUAAGUGGAAUUCCUAGUGUAGCGGUGAAAUGCGUAGAUAUUAGGAGGAACACCAGUGGCGAAGGCGGCUUACUGGACUGUAACUGACGUUGAGGCUCGAAAGCGAGGGGAGCAAACAGG
rnacentral:rRNA from 1 species